GGGGAUGUGGUCUAGUGGUAUGAUUUUCCCUUAGCACCUUGAUGCCAGAUCAUGGGAAAGGUCCCGAGUUCAAUUCUUGGCGUCUCCA